CACGUAGGCACCAAGCGUUGUCCGGAUUUAUUGGGCGUAAAGAGCUCGUAGGCGGUUCAGUAAGUCGGGUGUGAAAACUUUGGGCUUAACCCAAAGCGUGCAUCCGAUACUGCUGUGACUUGAGUUCGGUAGGGGAGUGGGGAAUUCCUAGUGUAGCGGUGAAAUGCGCAGAUAUUAGGAGGAACACCGGUGGCGAAGGCGCCACUCUGGGCCGAAACUGACGCUGAGGAGCGAAAGCAUGGGUAGCAAAC
rnacentral:rRNA from 1 species